GCUAAUCUGAGCAGGGUAAGCCGGCCCCUAAGCCGAGGCCGAAAGGCGUAGGCGAUGGGAACCACGUUAAUAUUCGUGGGCCAGAUGGAAGUGACGGAUCUCGAAGAUUGUUCCUCCUUAUCGGAUUGGAGGGGCCGUUCAGAGGUUCCUGGAAAUAGCUCCAUCAUCAGACCGUACCCUAAACCGACACAGGUGGACUGGUAGAGAAUACCAAGGCGCUUGAGAGAACUCGGGUGAAGGAACUAGGCAAAAUG
rnacentral:rRNA from 1 species